rnacentral:tRNA from 1 species
GCGGAAAUAGCUCAAUGGUAGAGCGUUGCCUUGCCAAGGCAAAGGUUGAAGGUUCGAAUCCAUUUUUCCGCU